GCUAUGAUGGCCGAGUGGUUAAGGCGUGUGACUCAAGCUUAAUAGCUUCUCUACUCUGUAGGGUUUUCUCAUGUACGUUGUACGCAAGAGUUCGAAUCUCUUUCAUAGCA